rnacentral:rRNA from 1 species
AGAGUUGAUCUGGCUCAGAACGAACGCUGGCGGCGCGUCUUAAGCAUGCAAGUCGAACGGCAAGAGGUAGCAAUACCUCCUAGAGUGGCGGACUGGUGAGUAACACGUGGGUGACAUACCCUUCAGAUGGGGAUAGCUAUUAGAAAUAGUAGAUAAUACCGAAUACGAGCACAGGGGUUAGAGAUCUGUGAGGAAAGGAGCUAAGGCUCCGCUGAAGGAAUGGCCUGCGGCCCAUUAGCUAGUUGGUGAGGUAAGAGCCCACCAAGGCGAUGAUGGGUAUCCGGCCUUAGAGGGUGAACGGACACAUUGGGACUGAGAUACGGCCCAGACUCCUACGGGAGGCAGCAGCUAAGAAUAUUCCACAAUGGACGAAAGUCUGACGGAGCGACGCCGCGUGGAUGAAGAAGGCCGGAAGGUUGUAAAAUCCUUUUGAAACUGAAGAAUAAGCGUUGUAGGGAAUGACAGCGUGGUGACAGUAGGUUUUGAAUAAGCAACGGCUAAUUACGUGCCAGCAGCCGC